rnacentral:rRNA from 1 species
AGAGUUUGAUCCUGGCUCAGGAUGAACGCUAGCGGCAGGCCUAACACAUGCAAGUCGAACGGUAACAUAGAUUGCUUACAAUCUGAUGACGAGUGGCGCACGGGUGCGUAACGCGUAUACAAUCUACCUUUUACAGAGGGAUAGCCCAGAGAAAUUUGGAUUAACACCUCAUAGUAUGUUAGAGUGGCAUCACCCUAACAUUAAAACUCCGGUGGUAAGAGAUGAGUAUGCGUUCUAUUAGCUAGUAGGUAGGGUAACGGCUUACCUAGGCAACGAUAGAUAGGGGCCCUGAGAGGGGGAUCCCCCACACUGGUACUGAGACACGUACCAGACUCCUACGGGAGGCAGCAGUGAGGAAUAUUGGACAAUGGGCGCAAGCCUGAUCCAGCCAUGCCGCGUGCAGGAAGACUGCCCUAUGGGUUGUAAACUGCUUUUAUACAGGAAGAAACGCUCCCACGUGUGGGGGUUUGACGGUACUGUAAGAAUAAGGAUCGGCUAACUCCGUGCCAGCAGCCGCGGUAAUACGGAGGAUCCAAGUGUUAUCCGGAAUCAUUGGGUUUAAAGGGUCCGUAGGUGGAUAAUUAAGUCAGAGGUGAAAUCCUGCAGCUCAACUGUAGAAUUGCCUUUGAUACUGUUAUCUUGAGUUAUUAUGAAGUAGUUAGAAUAUGUAGUGUAGCGGUGAAAUGCAUAGAUAUUACAUAGAAUACCAAUUGCGAAGGCAGAUUACUAAUAAUCAACUGACACUGAUGGGACGAAAGCGUGGGGAGCGAACAGGAUUAGAUACCCUGUAGUCCACGCCGUAAACGAUGGAUACUAGCUGUUCGGAUUUCGGUCUGAGUGGCUAGCGAAAGUGAUAAGUAUCCCACCUGGGGGAGUACGGUUCGCAGGAUGGAACCUCAAUGAACUGGACGGGGGCCGGCACAAGCGGUGAGCCAUGGUGUCAAUCGAUGAUCCGCAGAACUACCAGGCUUAGGUAAGUGCCGGACCCUG